CCUACGGGAGGCAGCAGUGGGGAAUCUUGCGCAAUGGGCGAAAGCCUGACGCAGCCAUGCCGCGUGAAUGAUGAAGGUCUUAGGAUUGUAAAAUUCUUUCACCGGGGACGAUAAUGACGGUACCCGGAGAAGAAGCCCCGGCUAACUUCGUGCCAGCAGCCGCGGUAAUACGAAGGGGGCUAGCGUUGCUCGGAAUUACUGGGCGUAAAGGGAGCGUAGGCGGAUAGUUUAGUCAGAGGUGAAAGCCCAGGGCUCAACCUUGGAAUUGCCUUUGAUACUGGCUAUCUUGAGUUUGGGAGAGGUGAGUGGAACUCCGAGUGUAGAGGUGAAAUUCGUAGAUAUUCGGAAGAACACCAGUGGCGAAGGCGACUCACUGGCCCAAUACUGACGCUGAGGCUCGAAAGCGUGGGGAGCAAACAGGAUUAGAUACCCUGGUAGUCCACGCCGUAAACGAUGAGUGCUAGUUGUCGGCAUGCAUGCAUGUCGGUGACGCGAGCUACGACAUAAGUACACGUCCGCCGUCGGGGUAGGUACGGUCGGCGAGAAGUUAAACGUUAACUAAAUUAGUUAAGUUAGUUACGGUUCGUGAGACGNGCCGACGGACGACGACGAGGGAGGAGG
rnacentral:rRNA from 1 species